AAUAACCGGAGGAAGUGGGGAUGACGUCAAAUCAUCAUGCCCCUUAUGACCUGGGCUACACACGUGCUACAAUGGUUGGUACAACGAGUUGCGAGUCGGUGACGGCGAGCUAAUCUCUUAAAGCCAAUCUCAGUUCGGAUUGUAGGCUGCAACUCGCCUACAUGAAGUCGGAAUCGCUAGUAAUCGCGGAUCAGCACGCCGCGGUGGAUACGUUCCCGGGCCUU
rnacentral:rRNA from 1 species